rfam:Clostridium spiroforme DSM 1552 Scfld_02_8 genomic scaffold, whole genome shotgun sequence.
AAUAAACUGGUUCGAAAGCCAAACCCAGUAUAAAAAACUAAGAAUAA